rnacentral:rRNA from 1 species
UGAAAGGCCAAUCAAACCGGGAGAUAGCUGGUUCUCCCCGAAAGCUAUUUAGGUAGCGCCUCGUGAAUUCAUCUCCGGGGGUAGAGCACUGUUUCGGCAAGGGGGUCAUCCCGACUUACCAACCCGAUGCAAACUGCGAAUACCGGAGAAUGUUAUCACGGGAGACACACGGCGGGUGCUAACGUCCGUCGUGAAGAGGGAAACAACCCAGACCGCCAGCUAAGGUCCCAAAGUCAUGGUUAAGUGGGAAACGAUGUGGGAAGGCCCAGACAGCCAGGAUGUUGGCUUAGAAGCAGCCAUCAUUUAAAGAAAGCGUAAUAGCUCACUGGUCGAGUCGGCCUGCGCGGAAGAUGUAACGGGGCUAAACCAUGCACCGAAGCUGCGGCAGCGACGCUUAUGCGUUGUUGGGUAGGGGAGCGUUCUGUAAGCCUGCGAAGGUGUACUGUGAGGUAUGCUGGAGGUAUCAGAAGUGCGAAUGCUGACAUAAGUAACGAUAAAGCGGGUGAAAAGCCCGCUCGCCGGAAGACCAAGGGUUCCUGUCCAACGUUAAUCGGGGCAGGGUGAGUCGACCCCUAAGGCGAGGCCGAAAGGCGUAGUCGAUGGGAAACAGGUUAAUAUUCCUGUACUUGGUGUUACUGCGAAGGGGGGACGGAGAAGGCUAUGUUGGCCGGGCGACGGUUGUCCCGGUUUAAGCGUGUAGGCUGGUUUUCCAGGCAAAUCCGGAAAAUCAAGGCUGAGGCGUGAUGACGAGGCACUACGGUGCUGAAGCAACAAAUGCCCUGCUUCCAGGAAAAGCCUCUAAGCAUCAGGUAACAUCAAAUCGUACCCCAAACCGACACAGGUGGUCAGGUAGAGAAUACCAAGGCGCUUGAGAGAACUCGGGUGAAGGAACUAGGCAAAAUGGUGCCGUAACUUCGGGAGAAGGCACGCUGAUAUGUAGGUGAAGCGACUUGCUCGUGGAGCUGAAAUCAGUCGAAGAUACCAGCUGGCUGCAACUGUUUAUUAAAAACACAGCACUGUGCAAACACGAAAGUGGACGUAUACGGUGUGACGCCUGCCCGGUGCCGGAAGGUUAAUUGAUGGGGUUAGCGGUAACGCGAAGCUCUUGAUCGAAGCCCCGGUAAACGGCGGCCGUAACUAUAACGGUCCUAAGGUAGCGAAAUUCCUUGUCGGGUAAGUUCCGACCUGCACGAAUGGCGUAAUGAUGGCCAGGCUGUCUCCACCCGAGACUCAGUGAAAUUGAACUCGCUGUGAAGAUGCAGUGUACCCGCGGCAAGACGGAAAGACCCCGUGAACCUUUACUAUAGCUUGACACUGAACAUUGAGCCUUGAUGUGUAGGAUAGGUGGGAGGCUUUGAAGUGUGGACGCCAGUCUGCAUGGAGCCGACCUUGAAAUACCACCCUUUAAUGUUUGAUGUUCUAACGUUGGCCCGUU